rnacentral:rRNA from 1 species
GAAUCUUAGACAAUGGGGGCAACCCUGAUCUAGCCAUGCCGCGUGAACGAUGAAGGCCUUAGGGUUGUAAAGUUCUUUCAGCGGGGACGAUAAUGACGGUACCCGCAGAAGAAGCCCCGGCUAACUCCGUGCCAGCAGCUGCGGUAAGACGGAGGGGGCUAGCGUUGUUCGGAAGUACUGGGCGUAAAGCGCACGUAGGCGGACCAGAAAGUUGGGGGUGAAAUCCCGGGGCUCAACCCCGGAACUGCCUUCAAAACUGCUGGUCUGGGGUUCGAGAGAGGUGAGUGGAAUUCCGAGUGUAGAGGUGAAAUUCGUAGAUAUUCGGAGGAACACCAGCGGCGAAGGCGGCUCACUGGCUCGAUACUGACGCUGAGGUGCGAAAGCGUGGGGAGCAAACAGG